rnacentral:lncRNA from 1 species
ACGCUGGGAAAGGACAAGUGCCGGUGACACUGCUCGUGGCACGGCCAGUAACUCCCUUUUAAGAUGUGAUUUUGGAGAAGAAAUAGUCCUUCUUGGAGACUCGGUGCUCCAUCUGUAAGCGUGGCUGAGGAACAAGAUGCUGGACCAGUCACUGCAGUUGGUCACGUCCUCACACUAAGUACUCGUUCACCAGACCCUGGACAGUUUGUUUAUUUAGGAGGAAGAGACUCUGCAUAAACAAGAAGUGGCUCCUGGAGGCGGGAAAGCCAGGGUGUUAACUCUCCUCCUUCGUGUGCUCAGCUUCCUUCCUGGAGGAAGAGCUCCGGUGGGAAACUGUGCAGGCAGGAAAGAGCCGGGAACCCACAUCAGUGGCCCAACCCAAGUGCACAGGCUGGGCCUCAGCCUCACUCUGGCUUUUUGCCCCGUGUCCUCCCCCGCUCUGCCGACCACCUCCUCCAGGAUGCCUGCCCCGCACACCCUUCAGAGGCAGCCGUGGAGGAGCGGGAAAGGCCCCGAAGAGGAGGCAGGCACUGACUCUGCCCCUACGUGCAUGACCUCAGGUAAGUCCUCAGCCUCCCAAGCCUCAGUUCCUUCACCCAUAAAAGAAGCCCACCCAUCUUGCUUCGCUGCCGAAAGAGUGAAUGGUUGGGUCCUGCAACCACGUCGCUGCUGAGACCCUUUCUCUGUCUCCUCGGCCUCCUCCUCCCUGGCCUGUGCCUCACAUUUCCCAGUCCUCCGCCCUGCCCUUCUCUCUGGGCUCCCAGACCUGCGCCGUCACGCGUCACAGCCGUGCUCCAGAUCCACAUCCCCAACGUGGGCCUCUCUCCUUCCAUCUUCCACAUGUGUCUCAAACUCGAUUUACCUAAAACUGAACUCGUCAUCACCCUCUCCAAACGCAGUCGCCAUCCAGCGCUCUCGGUCCCGGCAAUACUUCUAGCAUCACUUGCUCAAGCCAGAAACCUGGGGACCUCCUUGGCUCUACUCUCACACUCUUGUACGCGAGCAGCAGUAGCCAUCUUGUACCACAGGGCCUGGGAAAUGGAGAAAGCUGAACUGGAGUAAGAGAAAAGGAAGCAGACACACCAAGAAGCAUGGCAGAGAACAGGAGAGCAAAGACCAACCUGUUGGGCUGCUAAAGGGUUACAUGCUCUGGUCCUUUGGAUUUUAUGAGAGCCUCAGUACCUUUUCCAAUAUCUGUCCCAUUGUCGUCUUAAAUUUUUUUUUGCUUAGGUUAGUUUGAGUUGUGUUUCUAUACUUGGCGAAUACAAGAGUCCUAAUUCAUAUAAACCUAUACCUCAGAGUAAGCUAGUUAUGCUAUGGUAAUGGACAACUCCCACACUGUGGUGGCUUAACUCCACCAUAGGUCCAACAGCAGUGGGGAGCUCUGCUCACAGCCAUCCCUCAGGAAGCAACUGCCAUCUGGAAUGUUAUUGGUUACGGUGUCACAGAGCCAGGAUGGGAACUAGGGUCGCCUGACUUCUCAUUCAAGGCUCUUUCUCCCCUAAUUGCCUGUGGUAUCCAGUCUCCAAGAUGGCCCUUGUGUACUGAUUAGGGCUCACAUAUUAGGAGAUUGCAGAAAUGACUGGGUGACUUCCAGUGCUAGGCCAUAAAAGACUGUGGCUUCCACCCUGUCACUUUCUGGCAUCAUUUGCUCUGAGGGAAGCCAGUUGCCAGGUCAUGAGAACAUCCGAGCAGCCCUCAAGAGUGUCUCACAUGGAGAGAAGCUGAGGCCUCCUGUUAACAACCAGUACCAAGCAAGCAUAUGAGUGGUCCAUCUUGGAAACUGAUCUUCCAGCCCCAGUCGAGCCUUCAGAUGAAAGUGGUCCCAGCUGACAUCUUGACUGCACCUCACAAGAGACCCUGACCCCAAACCAUCCAGCUAUUCCUGACCC